AUGUGUGUGGAACAAUUGUCUCCAAUAAUCAUCCAACUGGUCCAGGCACACACGAGAUGCAUCGAGACCCUUGAUGCAGCUUCACCAGGGCCAUCUGAGAAACAACUGAUCAGAACUGUAUCUACUUUGGACAGUGCAUCACUCCCUGGUGGAAUCUAUAUGAUACUACAAAAGUGGUUGAUUCCGAACAUUUUACUAGCUCCUGGAUACUGUGGACAAGUCACUUGACCUCUCUGGGACGCAUCUUCCUCAUCUAUAAAAUGGGGGUAAGACAGACUAUGAGCCCUUUGUGGAGCAAAGCCUGUAUCUGAUCUCUUAACCUUUUAUGUACCCCAGUGCUUAGCACAUAGUAAGUGUAGAAGCAAUGAUUAAACACGAGAAGCAACAUGGCCUAGUGGACUCGGGCCUGUGAGUCGGAGUACCUGGAUUCAAAUCCUGGCUCUGCCACUUGCCCUCUUUGGGACCUUAGUCAAGUCACUUCGCUUCUCCGUGCCUCAGUUUCCUCAUCUGUAAAAUGAUGAUUCAGUACCCGUUCUCCUUCCUAGACUGUGAGCCCCAUGUCUGACCUGCUUAUCUUCUAUCUAUCCCAGCACUUAAUACACUGCUUGGCACAUUGUAAUUGCUUAAAAAUGCCACUGUUAUUAUUGUUGUUGUUGCAUGCCACAGUUAUGAUCAUUUAA
rnacentral:lncRNA from 1 species